rnacentral:rRNA from 1 species
UACGUAGGGGGCUAGCGUUGUCCGGAUUUAUUGGGCGUAAAGAGCGUGUAGGCGGCCAGGUAGGUCUGCUGUGAAAACUCGAGGCUUAACCUCGAGCUGUCGGCGGAAACCAUCUGGCUAGAGUCCGGAAGAGGAGAAUGGAAUUCCCGGUGUAGCGGUGAAAUGCGCAGAUAUCGUUUGGAACGCCAAUGGUGAAAACAGGUUGCUGGGAGUGUGCUGACGCUGAGACACGAAAGCCAGGGGAGCAAACGGG